AAUUAAUUUUAUUAAUAAUUUUUUUUUUUUAUUUUAUUUUAUAAAAAUAAUUUAAUUUAUUAAGGUUUUAGUAUUAAUUAAAAAUAAAUUUAAAGAUUUAUACUUCAUUAGUAUUGGGAAAGAAAUAAAUUAAAUAUCAUAAAAAAUAAUAUUAGUAGUACCUUUUGUACCGGGGUGGAUUAAAAUUUUUAAUUUAUUUUUAAGUCCUCAAAAUUUAUAGAGUUAAUUUUAUUAUUAAUUUAUUGUUAAAUAAAUAUUUAAAAAAUAUUAUUAGUUUAGAAAUUAAAUUCGUUAUAUUAUAUUUAGUUAUUUAAGAUUUAAAUUUAAUUUAAAAUUUUAAAAGUUUAUGAUUAAUUUUAAUUAUUUAAAUUUUAAAAUUAAAUUAUUUUAGGGAUAAGCUUAAAAUUUUUAUAUAAUUAAUUUUAAUUAUUAAUAAUUUUAUAGGAUUAGAAAUUUUUAUUUAAGUUUGUAAAAAUUUAUUAUUUUUUUAUAUUUAAAUUUAUUAAAAUUUUAUUUAUUUAUUAUUUUAAAUUUUUAUAAAUAAAUUUUUUAUUUAUAGUAAUAAUGAUUAAAUUAGUAUAUUUGAAAUUUGUAAAUUAUGAAUUCGGCAAUUAUUAUUUUCAUCUGUUUAACAAAAACAUUGUAUUAAGUUUUAUUUAAUAUAGGAAUCUGCCUCAAUGAAAUAUUUAAAUAGCUGGCAGAAUUUUGACUGUGCAAAGGUAGCAUAAUAAUUAGUCUUUUAAUUGAGGACUUGAAUGAAAGAUUUGAUGAGAAAUAAACUUUAUUAUUUACAUAAUUAAAAUUUUAUUUUUAAGUAAAAAAGCUUAAAUAUUUUAAAGGGACGAUAAGACCCUAUAAAACUUUAUAGAUUUAAAUUUUUAAUUUUUUUUGGUUUAAUAAAUAUUUAAAUAAUUAAAUUUAUUUUAUUGGGGUGAUAAAAAAAAAUAAUUAACUUUUUUUAAAUUUUUACAUUAUUUAAUGGGGUUUUGAAUUAAAAUUUUUAAUUAUAAGAAAAAGUUACUUUAGGGAUAACAGCGUAAUUAGUUUUUUAAGUUCAAAUUUGAAAAUUAGUUUGCGACCUCGAUGUUGAAUUAGGAGUAAUAUUAGGUGCAAAAUUUUAAAUAUUGGGUCUGUUCGACCUUUAAUUUCCUACAUGAUUUGAGUUCAAACCGGUGUAAGCCAGGUUGGUUUCUAUCUUUUAAAAAUUAAAUUAUUUUAGUACGAAAGGAUUGAAUAGUUGAAUUAAAUUUUUUAAUUAAUGAAUUAAAUUAAAUUUAC
rnacentral:rRNA from 1 species